rnacentral:rRNA from 1 species
CUCAUCAAUCAUACCAUCAAUACUGCACCGAAUCCUAUCAGAACUCCGCAGUGAAGCAUGUUUGGGCGAGAGUAGUACUAGGAUGGGUGACCUCCUGGGAAGUCCUCGUGUUGCACUUC